rnacentral:rRNA from 1 species
UACGUAGGGGGCAAGCGUUGUCCGGAUUUAUUGGGCGUAAAGAGCGUGUAGGCGGCUUCACAAGUCCGCUGUGAAAACUCGAGGCUCAACCUCGAGCUGUCGGUGGAAACUGUGUAGCUAGAGUCCGGAAGAGGAGAGUGGAAUUCCUGGUGUAACGGUGAAAUGCGUAGAGAUCCGGAGGAACACCAGUGGCGAAGGCGGCCCCCUGGGCCGCGCCUGACGCUGAGACGCGAAAGCGCGGGGAGCGAACGGG